CACAGCUUUUUCACUCAGAAAGCCCAUCACCCUCCUUAUCGCAUGCCAUCAGAUUAUCGCCUUCUCAAUGCCCUCCUCAAAACUCACGAUCCAUCUCCAUCGCUAAUACCCUCCUCAACAUUACUCUGUUUAGGUUGUUAGGUUUCUUUUUUAAAAGAGAAAAUAAUGGUUUUAUAUUGGCAAUUGAUUGGGAAAAAAAAAUUAUUUCCUCAUCUCAUGAAUUCUCUUCUUCCUCUCCCCCUCUCCAUCUUUCUUCUUCUUUUCCUCUCUUCUCUUCUCAUAAGUCUUGCACAGUUAAAGAAUGAGGUAUCCAACCAAUUUGCAAGAUCCCAAUGCAUCAACCCUCCUUCCUAAUACCUGCAUCCUCCCUAUGCUGUCACCUAUC
rnacentral:lncRNA from 1 species